GUGGGGAAUAUUGCACAAUGGGCGGAAGCCUGAUGCAGCGACGCCGCGUGAGGGAUGACGGCCUUCGGGUUGUAAACCUCUUUCAGCACGGAAGAAGCGAGAGUGACGGUACGUGCAGAAGAAGCGCCGGCUAACUACGUGCCAGCAGCCGCGGUAAUACGUAGGGCGCAAGCGUUGUCCGGAAUUAUUGGGCGUAAAGAGCUCGUAGGCGGUUUGUCGCGUCUGCUGUGAAAGCCCGGGGCUUAACCCCGGGUGUGCAGUGGGUACGGGCAGACUUGAGUGCAGUAGGGGAGACUGGAAUUCCUGGUGUAGCGGUGAAAUGCGCAGAUAUCAGGAGGAACACCGAUGGCGAAGGCAGGUCUCUGGGCUGUUACUGACGCUGAGGAGCGAAAGCAUGGGGAGCGAACAGGAUUAGAAACCCUAGUAGUCC
rnacentral:rRNA from 1 species